rnacentral:lncRNA from 1 species
GUUUAAUAAAUAAAUAAAGUGGCUAUGCUAAUCUGAAUCUUAAUAAUAAAACUCUAGCAUGGAUAUGAUGAAUAGUUGCUCUGCCUAAUUUUAAAAUUUGAAGUUCUCUCUCAAGUUUAGACAUAACUGUUAUGAUUUAAAGCUUGCUCUAAACCUGAACUUGUGGGAAGAAAACUUGAUCUGAAGUCUAAGUUGUUAACGGAUACGAUAUGGGAAGGUUGAGCUACUGUUUAUCUGUUCCUAGAGAUGCUAGAAUUCUAGAGAAUUUUAUCUUUGAAAAUCUUUAAAAUAUUACAUGAUGAGUUCCUGUAUGGUGAGAGUUUAAAUUCCUAUCACAGCCAUAUAUACAUGCUUGCUAGACUUUGAGCUACACAUUUACUAUUUACUGCUUAUGAGCAUUGAGUGUGGUCAAGCUGUGUAGAUCCUUAGGAGCUUGUCAUGUGGUUAAAUCAAGAUUCACUUGCACGUUCACUCACAUAUGCUGCUUCUACUCCGGAAGUACCAUCCACAUAUAUCCACUCAUUUCCAUCUCCAGAAUCACCUAAAAAUAUUCUACUCCUGAUCCGGGAGAGAAUAGCCAAAAAUAUUUCUGUUUUUCCCUUGUGAAAUAAAUGCUCAAGUUAUCUUGUUACUACCACUUGCUAUAUUAUCUCAAGAGAUGAGUGCUCUGAAGAAAAAAAAGAAAAGAUAAGAGGAAAUAAAAAGGGGCAAGUGCCCGAAACCUCGAAAGAAAAUAAAAAGUGAGACAAGAGGUAAAAAUGGACAAGUGUCCGACAGUAGAAUUAGGCGUACAAGAUACCCAGCUGAGAGAAAAGAAAAAGAAAAGCAUCUCAUUCUCAUAAAGUUUCAGAAAGCAAGGAAUGUAUGUAUCCCCUCAAAGAGCAAAAGUAGAAUUAGACUUCCACAAUUGUUAUCCCCAUGAUCACCAUAUACCAUUCAUUCGCCACACAUACACAUCUUGAUUUGGCUUAUUGAUUUGUUUCUUUGGAUCCAUGGUUUUACUAUACAAUAAAUGUCUUGUAAGUAUGUAUACUUUAUCUCCCACCUAUGAGCUCCAGAUAUUAAAGCCUUAUUAGAGUAGGGUGGGAGAGAAGGCAAUAUGCUUUAUACCAUAAAUACCAUAUAUAUUGAGAGAAGGCUUAUACCAUCACUGCCUUGGUAAGGAUCCAGAAAUACCACAAAAGAGAGAUCUGAGAGAGUCAUACAAGGAAUCUCUGAGUUUUAUUUGAAAAUCAGCAAAAACUCCAGAGCUAUAGCUGAUCAAUAAUAAGAGACAUGGCACUUGACUAGACUGUUCUAUCUUUUAACCACUCAAGACAGAAGUGACGGUUACAAGUCCCAUGGUGAAAGGUAAAGUAAGUAAGUUUUAAGUCUUAACAGUUUACUCUAACUCAGAGAUGAGAUCUUAUUUAAAAGCAUGUGUACCGUCCAUUUUUAACGGCAUUACAACAACUUGUGAUCCAUCCCUGAGUCUAUCCUUGCUCAGGGACGAGCAAGAGUUAAGCUUGGGGGAGUUUGUUGACGGUCCUUAAGUAUCAAAUUUAAUUAUCAAAUAAAUAAAGAAAAGGAUCCAAAUAAAAUCAACAUCCAGAUUUAGGGUUUUAUCUGACAGAAUUCCACGAGUUUUGGUGUUUGUCUAUUUCUGCAGGGGGUUAUCAGGAAAUAUGGAAGAAAGGCCCACACGUCGGGAUUACAUAGAGAUAUCUACGUGCCACGCAAUUAUCUUACAUCUAGAAGACUCCAGAAGCCACGGGAAGGAAGCGGAGGCCGAACGAGGCCAGGCACUGGGCGCCCGCCCAGUUGACCUGGGCGCCCGCCCCCUCUCUGAGUUGGAUCAGGACUCUCUUUCGGGACUAAUCUCAAACCAACCUAAAGGAUCAAGGAUAACCGUUCAAUCAAUAUCGGUUUGAUCCAAUGACCCAUAUUCACUUGAAGGGACUAUAAAACCAGACCCCCUGGCCCCUGGAGGAGAGAGCCUCUCAACCCUAAUUCAUUAUUCCUCAAGUGAGAAUAAGCAUGGGCGUAGUCUUGUCUCGCAAUGAUUGCUAAGUAUGCUUGCACUAACUAUGAUAAUGCUAGACUAUAUAGUUGAGAAUAACUUCGGAAAUAUUCUUGUAGUUCGUUCUAGUACCAUGCUAAUGACUUUCUAGAGUAUCUAAUUGAGGUGCUUAUCAUAUUUAUUAUGUGGCUAAGUUAUGCUGAUCAGAUUAGUUAUCUUUGUCACUAUUCAUUACCUUAUAUCCUUUAUGUGACACUUACCCCAGUAUGAAAGAGUUAGAUAAAUGUUAUCAAUUAUACAGGCAAUGAUAGAUACUCAACCUCAUAGUCCAUUCGGUAAUCAAUAUUGAUGGUUGCUAAUCCCUUCCCAGUGGUAAAAAUAUAGAUAACGAUACCUAGAAUACUUCCCGGUUAAAAUGCUACAUUGGUAUUAAUCUGUGCGCUUGCAGAUCCCAUUCAUUAUUUAUUUAGAAGAGCAAUUGCAUAUUUCAAUACUGCAUCUCUCAUGUCAUGCUGGGGAUGACAACUUGGCUUAAGUGGUAUGAGGGAUAGGUUUGGCAUUUUUGGCACCGUUAUCAGAAUUAGAAAACUAAGUCUACUUUUGGUAGUGAUGUUAAGAAUACCCAAUAGGUGCAGUCGUAGUCUUCUCUAUACAUCGCUCACAUCAAAUCACAGUGGUUGUAGCCUAAAGGUUAGUAGUAAUAGAUUUGGUUAGUCAGAUGCACGCUUUCUCCUAGUGGUAAAAUAUAAAUACGAAACUCUGGAUAACCUCCUAGGUGAAUUGCUCACCGAUAUCCGUGCGCUUGCGGAUCUUUUCCUAAUUGGGUUACCAAAUAUCAACAAGCAUUUCUGGCGCCGUUGCCGGGGAGAGAGACAUUUUGCUGAGAUAACCUUGAGUCUUGCUACUAGCUUGUAUCUAUACUUUUACUUUUCCUUUUCUUUUUAUAUUCCUUAUAUUCUUUAUUCUUACCUUAUGGAAAACCAAGAUUCUAAAUCAAUCUAUCAUUUUGCAAACCUUCAGAAACUAACCUUUUACCAUGGGAGUCAUCACAGCCUAUCCAAACAUCCCAGUAUAGGUUAAGUUCAAGGUUGAUUGCCAUGAUUGAGAACCUAUCUUUCUCGGGAAAAGAAGACGAAAACCCUUACCUUCAUAUUAGAGAUUUUGAGAAAACAUGCGAUUGUUUUCGCAUUGAAGGCAUUUCUGAUAAAACUUUAUGUUGGAAGCUUUUUCCUUUUUCUUUAAGAGGAGAAGCUAGACGAUGGUAUAGUCAGAAGGUAAGUCAACAACGAGGUGAAUAGGGAAUUUUACGAGCCAACUUUUUUCUAGAUUUUUAUUCCCUCGACCGUAUCGGUGACCUUAGACUCGAAGUUCUAUCUUUUAAAUAGAAAGAAAAUGAAACUUUGGGAAAAUCCUGGAAACAUUUUUCUGAUCUUUUAGAAUCUGGUCCAAAACUUAAUCUUGAAGACCCUAUUCUUAUUUUUCAUUUCUUUCGAGGUCUUCAGAAAGAUCAUAAACAAAUGCUACAUACAAUGCCUAGAGGUUCUUUCUUUUGUAUCACUACUGAUGAAGCUAGGGCAAUCUUAGAUAGAAUCCUAGAAGCUGAGAUGGAUAAUACCCUCCAUGAUGAAACCUACGAAGCCAAAGUAGACACUCUGCCAAAUUUUUCACCUACUUCAGCUAUCCCAAGUUCUGAGCCACAAAAGGAAGAAAUUCCACCACCUGAUUUCAUGCUGGAUAUAGAAUCUGAUCUUUUUGCCGAUUUUGGAAACAUUUCAAAUUACCAUUCUAUAGACAAACCCCAAAGCGGCCAUUUUAGCAUUUGUUUACCAAAUGAAUAUCAAUUGAGAGAGCUUAUUUCAAUCAUGAGUAGCGAAUGGUUGGAGGAGUCAGAUCUUUCCUCUAUAUCUAUAUGUUGUGCUUAUGACUCUGAUCUAUUUGAUGCUCUCUAUAAUCCUGUUGCGGGGAUCAAUAUCAUGUCUGAAGCUUUUGCACAUAAAUUAUUUGGGAAAUUAAUUUAACCCCCACAACAAAGUUCAUAAAGGAAUCUUCGGGACGAUUAGUCCCCAGUCUUCGAAUUGUGAAUGUCCUACCCUUUAUGGUAGAAGGCACCAUGGUUCAUUUGAACUUUUAUAUCUUUGAUACAUGGGACUUUGACCUGUUGAUAGGACAACCUUUUAGAAGACUCCUUUACAAAGGUCAAACUGGAAAGCUACAAAUUUCUUUUGGAAAAGAUUUCAAAUUUCCUAUAACAAUUUCUCAUUCUUUGAAUAAUAAGACCGAAACAUAUCUUUUGCCUGAUCCUAUGGAAGAGGUAAAGGCAGCGUCUCUAGAGCUUUUAAAUGAACCAGACCUAGAAGAGGAAGCCCUAUUCUUUAUAGAAGAAGAGGCUGAACCUUCUGAACCUGAACACUUAGAUGAGUUUGCAGAAACACCAAGACCUCCCAUAGAGCUUAAACCUUUACCACCCAGUCCUACCUAUGCUUUCCUGAAUAAUAAUCUUGAGUUUCCUGUAAUCAUUAGUGAUAAACUCACUCAGGAGCAAACUCUGCGAUUAAUGACCGUUUUAGAAAAACAUCACUCAGUUUUUGGCUACUCACUCCAAGAUCUUACAGGAAUCAGUCCUAUGAUUUGUACCCAUCGCAUUCCGACAGAUCCUUCUGUUUUACUGUUGGCAGUCAUUAUAGACCAAUCAUAAACUGCCAACAUGAUCCAAAAGAAGAAGAAGCAAUCAUAUUAUAUACACACAUGCAUUUUAUUACUAACAAGUUCCACUUGUACCAUAGUGAUUAUAUUUUGCAGGAAUUAUAGUGCAACAAGUGAAAAUGUGCCAUACCAUGAAGAAAGCGCAAAGUACCCAAAGACGUAUUCAAAAAUGCGCAAACCAAGAAAUAGAGAAAGGCCCAAACAACGCAGAACUAGGCCUGAUCGUAACCACCAGAGAGAUCCAGGCCCAGAGCCAAACCGACCACGUGAAGGCGAUGGCUAGGGGGACCCACCCAGGGUGCGGCAGCACCCUAGUGUGGGCGCACCCCUAGAGGCGGCAAACCGGGCCCAUCUUUCUUAGGCAGUUGCAUGCUGCCAUGCAUAGGACAGUUUCACCUACUACCAAAUUUAGAUGCGACAAACCGUAAUAGCUCCACUAAAAAAAGAGAGGCACUCCCCCCUUUUCAACACACACAUCAUUUGGAGUCCAUUUACCUCACACCUCUUACUUGUAUCUUUAGUCUAGAUUAGUAGUAUAGCAAGGCAAGAGCUAGCAAGGAGAGCUUGUCUCCUUGGAAGAAAAGAUCUUCUUGGUAUGAAUAAUAUUCAAUCUUCUUCAAUGAGCAAGUACUAUUCAUCUUUAUCUGAUUAUGCAUAUGAACUAGAGUAUGGUUGUGUUCUUAUCAUGUUCAUAGUAUAUGAACUAGUUCUUAGUUCUUGUGCUAUGUUCUUGAUAUGUUCAUCAUUGUUCUUCAUUGUUCAUCAGAUUAGUAUGAUUAGGAUUAGAAUUACGAAUGGGAUGAUGGUUCACUGUGCUGUGAUGGUUGCUCUUAGCCUAGCCAGUCACUCCGAAGGGGUGGGGCCCGCGGGGGUUAGGAGUUGUUUCCAAUUACGUGAACAUGGUGUUCAGGUAUGCGGGAAUCACUGGAUGUGCGGGUAUCUUUCGGGUAGAGGGGUAGGUGGUAGGGUAGUGACAGCUCUGUCAUCCUUUGCAUUCCCCCAUGAUCAGGUAUUCCGAUAGGAGCUCUGUAAAGUCUCUAUCGGCUGGGGAUCCAGCUGUGGCGAUCUCCCCUCAUCUCAGGCUUAGUUCUAACUCUAUUUAUUGCUAAUUAGAUGAUCCACUAACAGUUCUAUGCAUAGUUAUAUGUGACCCAUGCCUACUUAAGUAGAUUUAUUUCUUUAUUCUUUAUUUAUUAUUUCUCUUCUAUUUUAUCCUUGAGGUUGAUCCAAUGUGUGUCCACUAUCUUGAAUAUCAUGUUUAUUCCUAUUUACUCUAUGUCUACCAAGCAUUCAAUAAGUAAUCAUGUUUACACCAUGUUUGAUCCCUUUGCCUUCCUACGGGAAUUAUAAAUUUGACACCCUUGAAUACUCACAAGUUGAAAUGCUACAAUGAUAGUUCUGUCCGCUUGCAGUUAUAUUACUUCUUCAUUCAUGAACCAUCGAUUGGCGUACCUAAGUACCGUUACUUAAGAUUGUAAUCCUUGUGCACUUUCAAGCGUAGUGCCACAGCUUUACAUAUCGCAAGUAAGGAUGGUUAGGAAGGCCAAUCCGGCAUUCCUAAUUAUUAUUACCAGACUGCACUUCUAAGGCCGGCGCCCUCGAGUUGCCUUGGGUUAUCUCUCUGAUGUAGCGAUAGUUACGGUAUGCCAACACCCGACAUUUCUGGUGCCAUUGGUAAGGAUGGAUCUAUAGUCUAUUUUUAGUAGUGAUGCUAAGAAAUGCCAACAAGCAUUUCUGGCGCCGUUUCUGGGGAAGGCAAAAAUCAUACUGGCAUAAACAUUGAUUGCAUAAUAAGCAUUGGUAGCCAUAGAUUAAGCAGGAUAACUUUAUUGUUUUCUUCCUCUUUUUAUUGGGAUGAAAACAGGAUAGUGUAUGAGCGGUUUCAACUUGCCGGCAAACUUCCACAGUGAUCCAGAAACACUCCUAAGGAAGAGAAGGGUUCGUACCGUCUCUUCUUCUCCUAUGCAACUGGCAAGCGAAUCAACCGUUCCAGCACCAACCGCACCAAUCGCUAUGGCCAAGACACUCCGUGACUACUCCACUCUCGCUGUUGCCAACGCGCCAACUGGGCCCACUAUCAAUAUGGGGAAUGGAAGCUUCGAGAUCCGCACUGGCCUCAUCUCUAUGGUGUAGGCAAGCCAAUUUUGUGGCCUACUAAGCGAGGAUGCCAACGCCCACCUUCAGAACUUCCUUGAGCUAUGCGACACCGUUGUCAUCAAGGACGUCACGCAGAACAGCACCAGGCUCCGUCUGUUUCCCUCUUCCCUUGCCAGAAAGGCGAAACAAUGGUUUUAUCAGAAUAAGGAAGUUGUUGACACAUGGGAAAAGUCCUCUGCAGCUUUCCUCACCAAGUUCUUCCCCACGAGUAGGACCAGCGCUCUGAGGGGGAAGAUCUCUAACUUCCAGCAGUCUUCACUUGAGUCCAUACCCAAAGCAUGGGAGAGGCUCCAGAACUUCAACGAAGGCCUCACCGCCAUGUCAAAGGGGCACGUAGAUGCCGUAGCUAGAGGUGCAUUCCUUUCUCUCACCAUUAAUGAAGCUACUGCCCUAAUCGAGAAGAUGGUGGCAAAUCAAAGCUCGGGAGAAUGAAGGAAAACACAAAAAGGCUCGCAAUCUGUGAAGGAGGCAGAUGUGCUUGCCGCAAAAAUAGACUUGCUGCUGCAAAGGAUGGACGGACAAGUUGCAAAUCCCAACAUGGGCACCGUCCAAGUAGUGAACUCACACACAUCGUGUGAAGUUUGUGGUGAUGAUGGCCAUUCGGGGAACAAUUGCCCCGAAACCCAAGAAGAAGCAGCAUAUGUCAACAAUGGGUUUCGGCCACCACAGCAAGGUAGCAACGGGUGGAACAAUCAACACCGCCCACAGGGUAAUUUCUUGAAUCAGCCUUCCUUGAAAGAUCUGGUCAUAGGGCAAGCUAAAAUCAACGAGAAUCUGACCAAGAAGGUGUCCUACAAUGACAAGAUCAUUGAGAACAUCAACGCCAAGCUUGAAACUCUUUGUUCAUCUGUCAAAAGUCGGACGAGUUUCAAUAAGAUGAUAGAAACACACAUAGCACAGAUACUUGCAUCAAUUCCAGUCACUGACACAGAGAGGAUCCUUGGGCAACCGAAAACCUCUACUAAGUUCGUCCAUGUAGCCACAGAAGAAUGAAGGAAGGAAAGUCUUGCCAACGGACUAUAAAUGUUGAGCCCUUGCCGAAGGCAUUCGGUAGUUAUCUAAAAAACCUAUAUAUAAUAAAAAUAUUUUUUGUGCUAUUUGUGUCCCAAUAAAGAUAUCUUAAGGAGGCCCACAACAUCAACCAAGCUUGGGGGAGGUGUCCCCGCUCAGGUAUUAUGUCUUUUUAAAUUCUUUAAAUCUCGUUUUAAUUUCCCUUUUUAUAAAAGUUUUUAUUUUUAGUUUAAAAAGUUUCCCUUUCUAUAGUUUUAUUUUUAGUCAAAAAUAAAGUUUCUCUAAAAAUCUUAUAAAAAUUAUUUUCUGGUAGUAUAGAUUUUCCCAUUUCCAAAUCUUAUUUUUAUAUAAUUUUUGAAAACCAAAAAUGUUUUGAAUAAAUAUGUGGAAAAUCAAAAUCUGGAGGAAGAUUUCGAACCAAGUUUGAUCGUAACCAGAGAGACAUUUGGGGUGACCGUUGGAGCCAGCAGCCAAAAGGCCAGCAGAGGCGGGCCCACCACUGGUGCGUGCGCAAUAGGGUGUGGCCGCACCCUGCCCAAGGCCUGGUGGCCUCGGCCUUUUGGCAACGGCUAGUAGCCAUUGAGGGGGGCGCUCUCCCGCCUGCGAUCAACUCUAUAAAUAGAGAGGACCCUGGGUGGAGCACCUCACCCCUCUCACACACAUUUUUUACUCUUCCCUUCUUCACUCUCUUGCCCACUUUGCUUCAUAGCCUACUCCACAAGCUUAGUGCAAGAAAAUUCUGUAAAAAACAUCUUGCACACUUCCCUCUCCAAGCAAAAACACCAUACACUUGUGCUAGCUCGUCCACCAUGAAUAGAAUUUUUGGUCUUAGAAGGAGCCGCCACCAACGCGGGGAAGAUCCACCAACCCCUGCAAGGAACGAGCAGCCGGCACAUGAAGGAGAGGAGGAGGAGCCACACGCCCACGCCAUUGACGAGGCCGACACCCCCUUCAUCGACUUGGGGAGCGAGCGGGAGAUGCAGGCAUACAACCUCAUGAAGGAACGCGAGUUCCUCCAUUCGUCGGCAUUCGACCCCGCAUUCUUGCACCAAAUAGGUAUGGAUGUUGAGUUUGAUACUAUUUUCAGGCAUCUUGGUUGGAGUAGAGUUGCCCCUGUUCAUGAGCUUGGGUCACGUCUUUUGACGAUCCAAAUAUUUGGGCACUCUAGAAAUUGUCGAUUAUGGUAUUACCUUUCGUUGCUUUGGAAGAGAUUUCAGUAUUUAUUGGAAGGAUCUUUCUAACCGUUUGGGUUUCCACAAGCGUUGCUCCAUUGACUUAGGUUUCUCCCUCAGGGGUUACUGUUGACGGUCCUUAAUGCUCACAUUUAACCAUCAAUUAAUCAUGGAAAAGGACUUAUAUGCAACCAACACCUAGCCUUAGGGUUUUAUCUGACAGAAUUCCACGAGUUUGGGUGUUUGUCUAUUUCUGCAGGGGGUUAUCAGGAAAUACGGAAGAAAGGCCCACAUGUCGGGUUUACAUAGAGAUAUUAACUUGACGUGCAAUUAUCUACCAUCUAGAAGAGUCCAGAAGCCACGGGAGCGAACGGGAGACGUGACGGGGCCGGGCACUGGGCGCCCGCCCUCCCUUACUGGGCGCCCGCCCUCCCCCCUGUACCAAUCAAGGUGAAGCUCGGGGAUCAUGCUCCACCGACCUAAUACUUCAAGGAAAACCACACGAUCAGUGUCAGUUUGAUAUGAUGGCCCAGAUUCAUCUGAAAAGACUAUGUAAGCAAGGCCCCCUGACCCCUAGAGAUCAUACCUCUUCUACAGAAUCAAAGCUAGGGUUUCAAUUCUUCAUCCAAGUAGAGAGGAUCCCUCUAGUUCUUCUAGUUCUACCUCUAGUUCAUCUAGAUCUAGUUCUAGUUCAUCUAGUUCUAGUUCUAGUUCCUCUAGUUCUAGUUCUAGUUAGUUCUAGUUGUAAUCUAGAAAAUAGGGAGAGAGAAGAGGAGAGCGGAGGAGGAGCCGGAUUUGUCAGAUCUUCCUCAACAUUAUACUUUUGCAGCAACUGGUUCGUUCUUCAUCGUUCUCCAGGUUCUUCAAUUCAUAAUUCCUGAGUUCUUUAAUUACUUUUAUUUACAUUCAAGUUAUUUAUUGGAUUCCCACUUGCAUCAAGUGCUCUAGUCUUUAUAACGCUAGAGUAGUAAUUAAUAGAUAACGCUAGAGUAGUAAUUAAUAGAUUAGACGUGGUGUUUAGUCUUGCAAUUACCAGGAAUUGCACCCAAUCCUGCGGAUUGUUGUGGUAGCCUUAGGGUAGUGACAGCCCUAACGAUCGACGUAUUCCACCACGUUCGGAUCGGUGUUUGUAGGACCGUAGUCACACCUUCCUAGCCCCCUUCUCAUCUCUUUCUGUGGUUAGUGCUCUGAUGUCCCGAUAUAGAUAAUCUUGAAGUAAUUCUUGAUUCUUAGAUCAACUAGAGAAUUCUCAGGAAACUUCCUCUCUUCCCACCAAAAAAACAAUUAUAUAGUUAUCCUUGGGCGAUCUUGGAUCUUAAUUAGUACACUCACGUUCUCUGUGGAAAAUCGAUACUCUGGAAUACUCCAGGGUGAAGGCUACAUCGGUAUCCGUGCGCUUGCGGAUUUUUCUGUUUGCGUUUAAAAUACCCAACAAGCUUUCUGGCGCCGUUGCCGGGGAACGGUAGCUAUGCUAGUUUCAAACCAAGUCACCCAUUUAUCCUUUUUCUUUUCCUUUUUUACCACACUCACCUUAUCAUUUUUACCAUACCACAUGGAUUUCACUCUAAGCAUUAGUGAGCAUGGAAUUUAUUUCAUAGCCACUUCAUUUACUCCAUGCUCAUAUGCAACAUCUUCACAAUCCAUUGGUCUCUCCAACAUCACCACAUUCGAGAUCUCCAACCCCCUCUUCCUUUCUAUUCAUAAAAACUUUAAAUGGGCGGUUGUCGAUGCAUAUGUCUAUAUUAAAUAUUGCAGAUCUCGUUGAGUUGAUCUUGAUAUAGGUCAGCGUUGGAGGGGAAACCACUUCGCUGACUUAAAUUAAUGGUUUCCCAAGGACUGAUCAGAUCGUAACAUGAGCUUUUAAUUAUUUGCAACAUUACCUUGUGUAUUGAGCAUAUAAGGAUAAUUGUAAAAAAAUUCCUUCGGGUAUUCUUGUCACUAACCUUUCUAGGAUUGGAGCAAGAAGAUCGGAUGAAUGACAAGCACAAGGUAUGUACAACCAAUCAUCAUACAACAUUGAAUUAAAUUCAUCCAAACUUGAAUUUUGCAAAAUUCAAGCUUGGGGGAGUACUUUACAUAAAAACAUCCUUUGCCAUGUUGCUAUGUUGGUUGUCCCUACCUUUGAGACAUGCUCAAUUUGUUAAAUACUAAUCACACUACUUCAUCUCCACUUGAGUAGAUCUCUAUAAAUGCUCUCAUGGUACCUUUAUUUGCUUUAGUAUAUGUCUAGGUUGGAGUAGUUUCAUUUAUCUCUUAAUUAAGCAUGGUGCUUAGUUUAGGAAUGAUGAUCUUACUUCCAAAGGAUUUUAAAUUAAGCAUGAUGCUUAGGUUAAAAUUCCCUCCUAAAUCAAAUUAGACAUGGUGUCUAGGUUGAUCUUUUAGCCGAUAGUAUGCUAUAGUAGAUAUUGGAUAUUUUGUUGGACUAACCCCUGCAGGAAAACUUUCAAUAUCGACCUGGGAAGUCCUGAGAUAAACUCACAUUGGAGACAAAGAGAGAGACACAUGAAGUUUAACAAUUUACAUAAGGAAGACAUAGCUCACAAGAGAUGACCCAUGGAGGGUGCCACAAACACGAUGCACAACCGCUAAGAAAGGAAAGCUUCCACAAGGUGAUACUGUACCAUCACUCUUCAAGUAAGGUAACAUCUUAAGGUACUUGACUAUCACUUUUAUAAGCUUCUCCUUGGUUCUGGCGUUCACAUGAAUACAAGAGACAAACAUGUAUGAUUUACAACUCUAGAUUAACCAACCCAAUCGAUUCAACAUGUUUAGCCCUUCCACCUUUGUGAGCCCACACUCCUAUUCAUAUGAGCUAAAGUGUUACACAUUCAAUCUUUGGACGAUAUAAACAAAACAUAAGUAUAGAUAGAUUAUCUUUCCAUUUGGUUGAGCGAUCUGAUCUGACAAAUGUUUUAAAUACUACACUCAUAAUCUUAUUAUCCAUCAACUUUGUCUUGCUCCCUAUGCUUAAGGUUAGGGAAGAACAAAUACACUUUUGGUUCUGUUGGUGUUUUCCACCAACAGGGCCCAUGCACUUGAUCUAUGCCUUGUCUAUGAGCAGGUACACUACGAGUAAAAUAUGAAGGACUUUUACAACUCCCAGGCUCCACCUAGUGAAUAACAUAGAUCUACGAGCACAAACACACUGGAGAUACUAGACACUCAUGCAAUCACUGCCCUGAGAUUCUUGAGGACGUAACUACUGGAGUAACCCCGUUGUAGAAGUAAUUACUGACCUUCUGCCAGUCAAGAGAGAUGAUCCAGGACGCCCCGUCAUCCCGAUCUCCAUCGGCAUGGUGGACUUCCUAGAAGCACUCUGCGACUUUGGCUCCAGCGUCAACAUUAUGCCCUGGGUACUCUAUGAAAAAAAUUCUUUACACAUCCUUUAUUAGAAACAGCCAUGUGUUUGCAGCAUGCAGAUCGUACGCUAAGUUUCCCAAAGAGAAUAUUGAAGAACCUCUACGUUUGAGUUGGUACCUUAUACGCUCCAGAAGACUUCGUGGUGAUAAAGACUGAUACUGAUGAGAGGGCACCCAUCAUCCUAGGGAGGCCAUUCCUGAACACCUCAGAAGCUGUCAUCUACGCUAGUGCUGCCAAGAUCAGUUUCUACAUGAAAGGGAGAAAUGAGACGUUUUCCUUCAAGAACAAGACUACACAAAUCUCAGAGCAUUCCCGACAUGAACCAAGGAAGAGGACCAACAGGAGGAACAGGAACAAGCAAGUGUGGACCGAGUCAGCUAAGAUGGUCACUGCAGUUCAAGGAGGUCAAGAUCAUCUAUUUAAGUCAUCGUUCCUGACCAAAAAGGAUGGCCGCCAUCACCUAUCAGCUCCUGUUCGGAACCAUGCCCCUAAAACCGACAUAUAUUAAGCUCCAGAUGGUAGAUCAGACAUUCCGAAAGGUUGAAGGAGACCGUUCCUCAGCACCGUUAAAGCAAUCAUCUACAUUGGAACCGACGGAGUCCACAUGCACUUCCCCUCAGAGAAGGUACGCCGCUAUUUCACUGACUCUAACUAUAUAGUUGAAGACUCUAAGCAGGUCAGAACAAGAAGAAGACGUCGCAACCAUAACCAGAGGAGGCAAAUCGUCAAGGACGGAUGGGCAGACUACGAAGGAGAAGUUGUAAGGCCUGAAGACAUACAACUUGAACAGAACUGUCCUGAGGAGACCGUAGCACCAAGUCAGGUGUGGAGAGAGAAGAUAGUUAUACACGAAGAGGAGGCACUGCCGGAACCACCGACUACGCCAUCCAGCGAAUCCCAGGACGACUGAGAAAACGGAGAGUUCCGUUCGGAGGACUUAAAAACACUGAACGCCUUGCCAAGAGGUAAACUUGGUAGUUAUCUUUUUCCUUUCAAUUAUUUAAAAUAGUUGGUUUAGUUAAUCAGGUUCAUCCUAUCUUGAAAAGAAAAUAAAAAUGUUUAAAAUAUUAAGCCCCAUGUGAGUAUGCUCAUGGCAUGAAACCCAUAAGUACAUUCACUGUGGUGGCAUAAACAUAAAAUAAAUAUAUUCUUGUCCUAUAAAAAAGAAACUAUAAAAAUAAAUUUAUGAUCCUACUAAAGAGAGUAACAUUUAUUGAGGAGGCUCAACAUGAUAAAGGCUAGAUAUUUAUGCUAACACCUAACUAGUUCCACAAAGCUUUGUUGUCUAUUUGAGCUCCAUAGAAUUCAAGGAUCAAAGAAGACUAGUAGACGGAGGACAUCCUAAUCGCUGUCAGGGUGCUGCCGACAUUCAAAUACACCUCUGCCACCUGCUAGCUACAUCACAAGGAAUUAUGUCAAAAUCCAGCUUGGGGGAGAGCACCCGCAUUUAUCCAGCUAAGUGUUCUACUCACGUUUAUAUUUUACUCGAAUAAUAAAAAGACGCAUAAUCAUAAAAACCUAAAUAAAGAUUUUGUACUUAUAUAUAUAUCUUUGCUUAGUUUUCUAAAUAAAUAAAUAAGUAAAGUUUGCUAUGAACCCUCAUGAUAAGCUCUCACAUGGAAAUGAUGAAUAGUUGCUCUGCCAUGUACCUAGUUUUCAAGUUUAAGCUUUCUCUCAAGUUUAGGCAUAACUGUUAGUAAUUAAGAUUUGCUCUAAACCUGAACUUGUGGGGAGAGUACUUGAUCUAAAGUCUAAGUCGUUAACGGAUACGAUAUGGGAAAGUUGAGCUGCUGUUUAUCUGUUCCUAGAGAUGCUAGAAUUCUGGAGAAUUUUAUCUUUGAAAAUCUUUAAAAUGUUGCAUGAAGAGUUCCUGUAUGAUGAGAGUUUGAAUUCCUACCACUGCCAUAUAUACAUGCUUGCUAAAACUUUGAGCCACACAUUUACUUUACUGCUUAUGAGCAUUGAGUGUUGUCAAGCUGUGUAGACCCUUAGGAGCUUGUCAUGUGGUUAAAUCAAGAUUCACUUGCACGUUCACUCAUACAUGCUGCUUCUACUCUGGAAGUAUGCAUCCACAUACAUCCACUCAUUUCCAUCUCCAAAACCAUCCAAAAAUAUUCUACUCCUAAUUUGGGAGAGAAUAGCUAAAAACAUUCUCCUAUUUCUGUUUUCCCCUUGAAAUAAAUGCUCAAGUUAUCUUGGUUACUACCACUUGCUAUAUUAUUUCAGGAGAUGAGUGCUCUAAAAAAAGAAAGAAAAAAAAGAGAUGAGUGGUAAAAAUGGAUAAGUGUCUGACAGUAGAAUUAGGGGUACAAAAUACCCACCUGAGAGAAAAGAAAAGAAAAUAUAGAGCAUCUCAAUCUCCUUAAAAAGUUUCAAAAGAGCAAGAAAGGUAUGUAUCCCCUCAAAAGAGCACAAGUAGAAUUAGACUUUCACCAUUGUUAUCACCAUCAUUACCAUGCACCAUUCAUUCGCCACACAUGCACAUCUUGAUUUGACUUAUUGACUUGUUCUUCUGGAUCCAUGGUUUGACAAUGCAAUAAAUGUCUUGUAAGUAUGUAUUAGCUGUCUCCCACCUAUGAGCUCCAGAUAUCAAAACCUUAUUAGAGUAGGGCGAGAGAGAAGGCAAUGCCACUAUGCCUCAUACCAAAAAUACUACAUACUUUGAGAGAAAGCAUACACCAUUACUGCCUUGGUAAGGAUCUAGAAAUACCACAAAAGAGAGACUAGAGAGAGUCAUACAAGGAAUCUCGGAAAUUUAUAUGAAAAUCUGCAAAAACUCUAGAGCUAUAGUUAAUCAAAGAACAAGAGACAUGACGCUUGACUAUACCGUUCUAUCUUUUAACUGCUCAAGACACAAGUGACGGUUGCAAGCCCCAUGGUGGAAGGUACAAUGGGUAAGUUUAAAUCUUAACAGUUGUUGAUAUUUGGGAACGCAAUAAGGAAUUGAUCCGCAAGCGCACGGAUAUCGGUGAGCACUUCACCCGGGAAAUUAUCCAGAGUAUCGUAUUUAUUUUUUUACCACUAGGAGAAAGAGUGCAUCUGACUAACCGGUCUAUUACUACUAACCUUUAGGCACAAAGAAUGUCUUUCGAUGUGAGUGAUAAAUAGAGAAGACUGCAACCGUAGUCUCCUUCUAACCUUGGUAAGGAUGAUCUACUGUUCUAAUGGGGAGGCUAACGGAAUCUAGACACCACAAAGGAUGUUCAACCCGCACCUAUAAACUCUAUCCUUCCUGCUAACGAGAUGUGAUCUACAAAGGUAGCUCGAAAUUGUCACGUUCCUCACUACUACCACGGUCCAGCUAGUCAGGGAAUAUUUAUGAGUACCCCAGCCUAAACACCACGUUUACGCCAGCAAUGAUUACUCUAAACUCUACACGAAGUGAUUAAAGUAAACUCAUAAACCAUAAGAACAAUAAAACAAGAACUUACUAGAAUUUAGAAGUCGAAUUACUGAAGAAUCCUAGGAGCAAGCUUCGGGUUAGGAGAACUUGAUCCCGCAGGUACAAGCUUGGAGUAGACACUGAC